CCAAAUUCAGUGGGGGAGUGAUUUACACUUAACGCGGUCGCGUUCGAUCCGUCCCGGUAGCGAUCGCAAGAUAGCGCGGGUAACGCGUUUCUGAAGGACGGAAUAGCUUGCGAUAGGGGACGCAAGCAGAUUUGGUAAAGGUCGCAGGUAGAUUUGGGCUGGGGAUGCAUAGAUGACUUUGGGGCAGAAUGCAUGCUGCCUAGAUCGUGCAAUUUUCCAAGGCGUUAAUGGGGUUUUUCUAAGUCCCGACCCAGCCAUUUUGGGAGGAAAAAUAUAUGGACCUGCAGCCGGAUAUUUUGAGGAUGCAAGUGGGCAACUUGCACAACUUGUCCACUUGUGUGCCACUUGCAAGCUAAGCACGAGUCGUAUGCAAGCUAAGCACGAGUUGACAAGGAUAAAUAUCAACGGUGCAAGCUAGGCACGAGUUGUACGCAAGCUAAGCACGAGUUGACGACAACUUGCAAGGCAAGUUGUAAUACCAUCCACUUGAAGACAACUAAGGAUGAGUUGGUGACAACCAAGCACGAGGUGGCGACAACUAAGCGCAAGUUGUAAAGUGGAAGGUUAAGGAGGUUUAAGUUUUCUAUAAAUAGGGAGGUAGUGUCAUUUGUAAAAGGGUAUGUAGUAGAUGUAGUAGAUGG
rnacentral:lncRNA from 1 species